ACUAUAUAUAGUGUUCUAGGUUCUUUCGAUUCGUUGGGUCGAAAGCUAAGACGGGAAUCCGGUGCGUUUCAUCCAUGACGGAUGCGGCAAUGCCGGAGCUGCCCCCGCAACUGUAAGCGGAGAGUUCUGUCCAUCACGUCACUGGCUUUGGCUGGGAAGGCGGACAGAAUGUUGAUCCGUGAGCCAGGAGACCUGCCUUGAACGAGUACGUCCAC
rnacentral:ncRNA from 21 species